CCUACGGGUGGCUGCAGUGGGGAAUAUUGGACAAUGGGCGAAAGCCUGAUCCAGCCAUGCCGCGUGUGUGAAGAAGGCCUUCGGGUUGUAAGCACGUUCAGUGGGGAAGACAGCCUUGGGGCUAAUACCCUCGAGGAAGGACAUCACUCACAGAAGAAGCACCGGCUAACUCCGUGCCAGCAGCCGCGGUAAUACGGAGGGUGCGAGCGUUAAUCGGAAUUACUGGGCGUAAAGCGCGCGUAGGCGGUCUGAUAAGCCGGUUGUGAAAGCCCCGGGCUCAACCUGGGAACGGCAUCCGGAACGGUCAGGCUAGAGUGCAGGAGAGGAAGGUAGAAUUCCCGGUGUAGCGGUGAAAUGCGUAGAGAUCGGGAGGAAUACCAGUGGCGAAGGCGGCCUUCUGGACUGACACUGACGCUGAGGUGCGAAAGCGUGGGUAGCAAACAGGAUUAGAUACCCGGGUAGUC
rnacentral:rRNA from 1 species